AACGAACGCUGGCGGCAGGCUUAACACAUGCAAGUCGAACGCCCCGCAAGGGGAGUGGCAGACGGGUGAGUAACGCGUGGGCAUCUACCCAUCCCUACGGAAUAACGCAUGGAAACGUGUGCUAAUACCGUAUACGCCCUACGGGGGAAAGAUUUAUCGGGGAUGGAUGAGCCCGCGUUGGAUUAGCUAGUUGGUGGGGUAAAGGCCUACCAAGGCGACGAUCCAUAGCUGGUCUGAGAGGAUGAUCAGCCACAUUGGGACUGAGACACGGCCCAAACUCCUACGGGAGGCAGCAGUGGGGAAUAUUGGACAAUGGGCGCAAGCCUGAUCCAGCCAUGCCGCGUGAGUGAUGAAGGCCUUAGGGUUGUAAAGCUCUUUCACCGGAGAAGAUAAUGACGGUAUCCGGAGAAGAAGCCCCGGCUAACUUCGUG
rnacentral:rRNA from 1 species